rnacentral:rRNA from 1 species
GACGAGCUCUCCAAACGUUAUUCGGUAUCACUGGGCUUAAAGAGUUCGUAGGCGGUCUGGUAGGUGAGGUGUGAAAUCCCCCGGCUCAACCGGGGAACUGCGCUUCAAACCGCCGGACUUGAGGGAGACAGAGGUGGGCGGAACAGAUGGUGGAGCGGUGAAAUGCGUUGAUAUCAUCUGGAACACCGGUGGCGAAGGCGGCCCACUGGGCCGGUGCUGACGCUGGAGGCGCGAAGGCGUGGGGAGCGAACGGG